CCGUUCUCAUUGGGGAGCCUGGGCAAAUGCACCGGGCUGAGAUUGCCAACGCAAGACCCACUGAACCUGAUCCAGUUAGUACUGGCGUAGGAAUUGAGACCACGAUAAUU
rnacentral:ncRNA from 1 species